rnacentral:rRNA from 1 species
CUCGCAAAGAGCAAAGCAGGGGACCUUCGGGCCUUGCGCUACCGGAUAUGCCCAGGUGGGAUUAGCUAGUUGGUGAGGUAAGGGCUCACCAAGGCGACGAUCCCUAGCUGGUCUGAGAGGAUGAUCAGCCACACUGGAACUGAGACACGGUCCAGACUCCUACGGGAGGCAGCAGUGGGGAAUAUUGCACAAUGGGCGCAAGCCUGAUGCAGCCAGUGCCGCGUGUAUGAAGAAGGCCUCGG